GUCCUGUGCGGUGCAGCGUGCGCCGAGCGCGGCCGGGCCCGGGCAGCCCUGUGAGGCGCAGCGGGCACCGAGUGGGGUCGGGCCCGGGUAGCCCUAUGUGGGACAGCGGCCACCGAGCGCGGCCGGGCCCGGGUAGCCCUAUGUGGGACAGAGGGCACCGAAUGAGGCCGGGCCCGGGGAUCCCUAGGCGGGACAGCAGCCACUGAGCGCGGUCGGGCCCGGGGAUCCCUGUGUAGGACAGAGGGCACCGAGCGCGGCGGGGCCCGGGGAUCCCUAUGCGGGACAGCAGCCACCGAGCGCGUCCAGGCCCGGGCAGCCCUAUGCGGGGCAGCGGGCACCGAGCGUGGCCGGGCCCGGGGAUCUCUCUGCGGGGGAGCGGGCACCGAGUGCGGCCGGAUCCGGGGAUCUCUCUGCGGCACAGCAGCCACCCUGCGCGGGACAGCGGGCAUCGAGCGCGGCUGGGUCCGGAGAUCUCUCUGCGGGACAGCGGGCACCGAGCGCGGCCGGAUCCGGGGAUCUCUCUGCAAGACAGCGGGCACCGAAUGCGGCCGGGCGCGGGGAUCCCUGUGCGGGGCAGCGGGCACCGAACGAGGCCGCACCCAGGCAUCCCUGUGCGGGGCGGCCCCGGGCGCGAUGCUGCCGAAGAGCGGGUGUCCCCGGGGCGCUCGGGAGGGGACAGGCGCUGCGCUCCUGUCCGGCCGUGCCGUGCCAGGCAGGGGCCAGGCGGGAGGCGGAGCGGUGCAAAGCUGCGCUGAAGAAGCGUACGCCGCGGACGGGGCCUCCAGCACCUUUUCCUUCCCACCUGCGGGUUAACGGAAGCACAAGGACUCGCUGAGGGAGGGGAACGGGAGACGAGCGCGACACCGGCCGUAGCCCCCGGCGGUUCUCAAACCCCGUGGAAGGCGCCGAUUCAGCGCGCACCGGAAUGCUGUGGCUUCGGGGAGCGUUAAAACGUCACAUCGGCUCCAGAAAGGAAAUAAAAGUGCUUCUUUAAUAUUAAACUUGUAAUUGUGCCUAUUUUGCCUCAAUGUUUUAUAAAUGUGAGCACAAGCAACUUGCAGCCUUUGUGCAACUCUUCGGGCAGCCACCGCGAAGCUUGGACAAGGAAUGUGUCAGAGGCUGUGCAUGGAUGAAAGUGAUGCUUAGAAGAUGCUUAGAAGUAACAGAGAUGCUUUAUUUUUUAAAGAUGGAACAGAGAGGAGGCACAAUUACCCCACAUUUUGAAGAUCUGAGCUCAAGCACUGACCUGCUGAAGCUUCCCCUGCCUCAGCUCCUCCUCCCCCUGUCUUAAAACAAGGGGCAGAGCUGUUGCCUACCUUGCGGAUAAUUGUGAGGAUAAAUACGUCAGAGGCGAGGGUUGGUUGAUACAAUAAAAAACCACUUAAUAUUGUCAACACAAGGUACCCAAAAACUGGCUUCCAGUUUCCUCAUACUCAGCAGAAGAUAUUGAUGAUUAAUAACAAGAACAGGAUAGGAAAGGAGACCAAAAGGGAUGAGCAAAUUCCAAUAGAAAUAGGCUCACCAGUGCAACAACGGGAAAGAUCUCUUGGGUUUUGGGGGUGUGUGUCACCAACUGUCCCCUGACAAACACAGAUAUGUUGCAGAGAAAAAAAAAA
rnacentral:lncRNA from 1 species